rnacentral:rRNA from 1 species
CCUACGGGUGGCAGCAGUGGGGAAUUUUGGACAAUGGGCGCAAGCCUGAUCCAGCUAUUCCGCGUGUGGGAAGACGGCCUUCGGGUUGUAAACCACUUUUGUAGAGAACGAAAAGUCUGUUGAUAAUACCGAUAGAUGAUGACGGUACUCUAAGAAUAAGCACCGGCUAACUACGUGCCAGCAGCCGCGGUAAUACGGAGGGUGCGAGCGUUAAUCGGAAUUACUGGGCGUAAAGCGCUCGUAGGCGGUAUGUCAAGUCAAGGGUGAAAUCCCCGCGCUCAACGUGGGAACUGCCUUUGAAACUGGCAAACUGGAGUGUGUGAGAGGAUAGUGGAAUUCCAGGUGUAGGAGUGAAAUCCGUAGAUAUCUGGAGGAACAUCAGUGGCGAAGGCGACUAUCUGGCACAUAACUGACGCUGAGGAGCGAAAGCGUGGGUAGCAAACAGGAUUAGAUACCCGAGUAGUC